GAUGAACGCUGGCGGCAUGCCUAACACAUGCAAGUCUAACGAAGCCUUCGGGCUUAGUGGCGCACGGGUGCGUAACACGUGGGAAUCUGCCCUUAGGUACGGAAUAACUCAGGGAAACUUGAGCUAAUACCGUAUGAUGUCUUCGGACCAAAGAUUUAUCGCCUAAGGAUGAGCCCGCGUCGGAUUAGCUAGUUGGUGGGGUAAAGGCCUACUAAGGCGACGAUCCGUAGCUGGUCUGAGAGGAUGAUCAGCCACACUGGGACUGAGACACGGCCCAGACUCCUACGGGAGGCAGCAGUGGGGAAUAUUGGACAAUGGGCGAAAGCCUGAUCCAGCAAUGCCGCGUGAGUGAAGAAGGCCUUCGGGUUGUAAAGCUCUUUUACCCGGGAAGAUAAUGACUGUACCGGGAGAAUAAGCCCCGGCUAACUCCGUGCCAGCAGCCGCCGUAA
rnacentral:rRNA from 1 species